GCCAGGCCUAGCAGGGGAGGGGACAGCUCCAGCGGACCUGACUUAACUGGGGCGAUGAAUGCAGCGGAGCCUAACGGCCCCUUCUAGGGAGACGAUAAUUAUUCAGAUCAGCCUGGUGAUUUACUCGGCAAUCAGAGCCGCUCGAUGCGGUGGCCGCGGAGCCGAGACAGACGAACAUCGCCAAGGAGGAUGAGACCGGGGGCUCAGUCCCCUCCCUCCCCCUCGCCCGCCCGGCCUUUGUUCUCUUCGAGGUCUGCACCCGCGCUGCUGGCCCACAGUGGAUGCGCCCAGCCGCACGGACACAGCAGCGACCUCGGGGGCUGGAGAGCAAGUGUACACAGGCGUGUGCCUCGGGGAGGGACUAUGGGGGCACGUGCUGUGUUUGCAUGCUUGUAUGUAUAAGGGGAAGGCGAUGGAGUAUACCAGUAGAAGCACCGCUGUCAGGUGUGCAAUCGGGAUGUGUACACCUGUUUGCCUACCAGGGCCUGGGCACAGCUGUCACUGCUGGCUUGUUUAAAUGUGUGAUAGACAGGUUGCCAAAUGGAUGUAUUUUAUGCUCAUAGAAGGCAAGAGAUGACGGUUGACGCUCCUAUGAUGGCAACCGUCUGACAGAGUCAUGGAUGAGGCAAGGCAAAGUUCUAGCUUAUUUUCUCCUACUGCUUGUGCUCGAACAAGCAGGCCCCAGGGGUGAUUAGCUCAGAGCUUGGGUCAGCAGUGGGGCCCAGAGGUCACGUGACAGGGGUGAGGACGUGUUCAAAGACGGGCGUGCACACUUGUUCAAAGGCCCCUGUGCAUUUGUGUCCGCAGACCUUCGCAUCCUCCUGCCUGCGGGCGGGCGCGGUGACGGUGACCUCAUUACCGCCUCCGCAAGGCCCCUUGAAAUCCCUGCGCCUCCGCAUUUGGCUGCUCUAAAGUGAUGGGAACGGCCUGCGCUUCCUGAUCAAUCGCUUAAAAUUCAGGGUCGGCUCGCUCGCGUUAGAGGGCUGCCUGCCAGCCCCGCGCAGCGCGCUCUGCCGCCUUCCCCACCCCCUUGCUUUGGGAUGGUGGUGGGGAGUCGCGAUGCCGUCGUAUUGGAAAACAUCCCCGCGCUGGCUGGGGGGCCCGGUGGGGCCAGCGCUGGAAGCCGUUCCACUCGAGCAGAUGGCUGUGAAACUUUGGCGGCGAGAUAAAUUGGGUCUGACGGCGUGAGGCCGGCUCACAGAUGGGCGGGAUUCUCACGCCGGCCCCCACGUCCGGCCCGGCUGCGGGCAGGGGCCGGCGCCGCACAUAGCCCCC
rnacentral:lncRNA from 1 species